AAGUGCCACGUGGACCAGUGUCUCUUGACAACUGUCAGGGAUGCCCCAUCUCCUCAUCUGAAAGUAUCUUCUGGCUCUAAGGGGUCUCACCAAUCUUGGCCCCAGAUUGAAGCAUGAACCAACACCUGCCUCUCUCUGGGUGUAGACGGCUCUCUCCAUCACACGAUCAUUGGUACUGGCCUGAAUCACCUCAUUGUUGAAGAUGGCCACACCCAUCCGAAUUGAUCAUCUAAUAAUCUUGCUGUUGCUGUGAACAAUAAUCUCCUGGUCCUGCUCAUUUCACUCAGCAUCAGUUCAUAUGAAGUAGACAAGAGGAUGAGGACUGCAAGAAGCUGUGGGAGAGUCCACUCUGGGAAUGGAGAAAACAGGAGGGAUGUCAUGAUGAAGAGGAACUAAUUCAUUUUAAAGGUCUUCUGGGGGCCGAGUUCUCAGCUUGAUGCUGGGCAUGCAAGGACAAACCCAGAACGAGGAGGAGUUUCCACUGUACUGAGAGGAAACGCUUGGCCG